GGCAAGCGUCCAGCUUCUCGACACUGACAACAAUCCAUCCAUUUGAAAACAUUUUGAAGUCUUGAACGAAACUUCAUUCCACAGCCCUACAACAUCCUGAUGAGUGCAUCUUAAAAGCUGGUACGCUGUGAUGUUGAGGCAAAAGGACCAGUCAGUCCCAAGUAUUCGUUGCACGUUGGGAUGCAAACAUCACGUGUGAGAUUCUCCGUAUCAUCCAAGACCCUGAGUCAUCAGUCUAAGGCUUCCACAGCCUCAGGAGGCCGUCCACGCUGGCCUACCGUCAGAGUUUUCUCCAGUCUUGCUGUCGCGUAGUUGAAGCAGUAGAGCACCAAGUCCUCUCCUACGCAGUAAAUCCACUCACCUCGCGGGGACACUGCGCUGCACACAAACUUUGCUCCCGACUUUCUAUCUGCACUAAACGUCUUGACAGUCUGAGAAGGAACCAAGCAAAGAAACUCAUAAUACCCUCCAUGAAAAAAAAAAAAAAAAAAAAGACAAGUUUUGACUGAGACCAAAAUGUUUAUUACGUUGUGAUCCCUCUUACCUGACCCUGCGUGUUCAUGACAACAACCGUGCUGGAAUGGUUGCAAACCACAAAGAGC